AAAAUGUGGCUGGUGGACAAUUAUGGUAUCGUGGAGUCGAGAAAACCCUAAAACAAUAUUUUUGACAAGUUACACCCGCAACGAGCCUAAUUAAUAUCAAUCUUUCCAUGGACGGAUUGCCGUUACAUAACAGCGGGCCAACACAAUUGUGGCCGAUUUUAAUGACGUUGCCGGAUUUUGAUCCAAUGCCAGUGUUGGUGGUAGCCAUUUUUUGUGGAGCAUCAAAGCCAGAAAAUGCUGAGGGCUAUCUUCGUCAAUUGGUGGACGAACUAAACCAUCUAUCAGACCAAUGAACCAUUAUUAAUGGAAAAAUGAUAGAUAUUCAGUUACGUGCAAUAAUUGCUGAUACACCUGCGCGCUCGUUUUUAAAAGGAGUUGCGUAUCAUAAUGCAGUGCACGGAUGCAUAAAAUGUAAGAGUCUAGGCACUUUUAUUAAAAGCGCACGAAAGGUUGUUUAUAAAAGUGUUCAAGGUGAACCUCGCACUGACAAGGAACUAAAAGGCGUUGUGUACAAAGAACACGUGAAACGCACAUCUCCACUAUUUUA